rnacentral:tRNA from 1 species
GGCCUGGUAGCCAAGUGGUAAGGCGAGGGUCUGCAAAACCCUUAUACGUCGGUUCGAUUCCGAUCCAGGCCUCCA